rnacentral:rRNA from 1 species
CGGUGAAGUGUUCGGAUCGCGGCGACGUGGGCGGUUCGCCGCCGGCGACGUCGCGAGAAGUCCACUGAACCUUAUCAUUUAGAGGAAGGAGAAGUCGUAACAAGGUUUCCGUAGGUGAACCUGCGGAAGGAUCAUUGUCGAAACCUGCCCAGCAGAACGACCCGCGAACCGGUGACACAAAACGGCGGGGUGCGCUUCGGUGCCCCCGGCGGCCGCGGGGGGACUCGCUCCCCCAGUGGCCGACGAACCAUAACCCCGGCGCGGGAAGCGCCAAGGAAUACGAAAGCAAAGGUAGAGCGAGCCCCCGUCGCCGACGGCGUGCGGGUUGCCUCGUCCUAUCCACGAACCAAAACGACUCUCGGCAACGGAUAUCUCGGCUCUCGCAUCGAUGAAGAACGUAGCGAAAUGCGAUACUUGGUGUGAAUUGCAGAAUCCCGUGAACCAUCGAGUCUUUGAACGCAAGUUGCGCCCGAAGCCUUUGGGCUAAGGGCACGCCUGCCUGGGUGUCACACAACGUCGCCCCCCAACCCCAGUCCCGAUUCAUUGCGGGGCGGUGGGGAGCGGAGAAUGGCCUCCCGUUGGCUCUGCCAGCGGUUGGCCGAAAUAAGAGUCCGCGGCGGACGACGCCGUGACGGCCGGUGGUUGAAAGGCCCCUGCACAUCCUUCGCGGCGCCCCGUCGUUCGGACCCCCGAGACCCUGAAGCGUUGUACGCCGACGCUAUCGAUGCGACCCCAGGUCAGGCGGGACUACCCGCUGAGUUUAAGCAUAUCAAUAAGCGGAGGAAAAGAAACUUACCAGGAUUCCCCUAGUAACGGCGA